rnacentral:rRNA from 1 species
UACGAAGGGGGCUAGCGUUGCUCGGAAUCACUGGGCGUAAAGCGCACGUAGGCGGAUUGUUAAGUCAGGGGUGAAAUCCUGGAGCUCAACUCCAGAACUGCCUUUGAUACUGGCGAUCUUGAGUCCGGGAGAGGUGAGUGGAACUCCGAGUGUAGAGGUGAAAUUCGUAGAUAUUCGGAAGAACACCAGUGGCGAAGGCGGCUCACUGGCCCGGUACUGACGCUGAUGUGCGAAAGCGUGGGGAGCGAACAGG